rnacentral:rRNA from 1 species
UAAAGCACUUUCAGCGAGGAAGAACGCCUUGGGAUUAAUACUCUCGAGGAAAGACAUCACUCGCAGAAGAAGCACCGGCUAACUCCGUGCCAGCAGCCGCGGUAAUACGGAGGGUGCAAGCGUUAAUCGGAAUUACUGGGCGUAAAGCGCGCGUAGGUGGCUAAGUCAGCCAGGUGUGAAAGCCCCGGGCUCAACCUGGGAACGGCAUCUGGAACUGCUUGGCUAGAGUGCAGGAGAGGAAGGUAGAAUUCCCGGUGUAGCGGUGAAAUGCGUAGAGAUCGGGAGGAAUACCAGUGGCGAAGGCGGCCUUCUGGACUGACACUGACACUGAGGUGCGAAAGCGUGGGUAGCAAACAGGAUUAGAUACCCUGGUAGUCCACGCCGUAAACGAUGUCAACUAGCCGUUGGGUCCCUUGAGGACUUAGUGGCGCAGCUAACGCAAUAAGUUGACCGCCUGGGGAGUACGGCCGCAAGGUUAAAACUCAAAUGAAUUGACGGGGGCCCGCACAAGCGGUGGAGCAUGUGGUUUAAUUCGAUGCAACGCGAAGAACCUUACCUACCCUUGACAUCCAGAGGACUUUCCAGAGAUGGAUUGGUGCCUUCGGGAACUCUGAGACAGGUGCUGCAUGGCUGUCGUCAGCUCGUGUUGUGAAAUGUUGGGUUAAGUCCCGUAACGAGCGCAACCCCUAUCCUUAUUUGCCAGCGAGUAAUGUCGGGAACUCUAAGGAGACUGCC